ACCUACCACUGCCAACCUAUCUACCACUGCCAAUCUACCUACCGCUGCCAACCUACCUACCACUGCUAAUCUAUCACUGCUAAUCUAUCGCUGCUAAUCUAUUGCUGCUAAUCUAUCGCUGCUAAUCUAUUGCUGCUAAUCUAUCUAUCACUGCUAAUCUAUCGCUGCCAAUCUACCUACCGCUGCCAACCUACCUACCGCUGCCAACCUACCUACCACUGCUAAUCUAUCACUGCUAAUCUAUCGCUGCCAAUCUAUAUAGGAUAAAUCAUGGUCCCAUUUGGUCCCAUUUUGUAAAAUGGGACCAAAUGAGACUGGGACCACUAAUUUAUUAGUAAAACAUGAUCUGGGACUAGAUUUAUAAUAUAAACAGUGUAAAGUGACUAAUUUACUAAACACUAUAUGGGACCAGGACUAAGAUAUCUAAUAAUGGGACUGAGGAAAAAUUUGGUCCCAGUCCCAUGCAUGGUCACACGGCCAGUC
rnacentral:sRNA from 2 species